rnacentral:rRNA from 1 species
UACAGACCAAGUUGUUAAGAGCUAUUGGCGGAUGCCUUGGCAUUGACAGGCGAUGAAGGAUGCGUUUACCUGCAGUAAUCUUCGGCGAGCUGGUAUAAAGCUAUGACCCGGAGGUAUCCGAAUGGGGCAACCCGGUAGAUUAAUCGUCUACCAUUAUAUGCUGAAUACAUAGGCAUAUAAGGCGACACCUGCUGAACUGAAACAUCUUAGUAAGCAGAGGAAAAUAAAUCAAAGAGAUUCCCUGAGUAGCGGCGAGCGAAAGGGGAGAAGACCAAACCACAUCAUUGGUGUGGGGUUGUAGGGUCGAUAACAUGAGAUCUUAAGUUUUAGUUGAAUACUUCUGGAAAGUAGAACGAUACAGGGUGAUAGUCCCGUAAGCGAAAGAACAAGAGACUCUAUUCGAUACCUGAGUAGGGCUAGACACGUGAAACCUAGUCUGAAUCUGGGGAGACCACUCUCCAAGUCUAAAUACUAGUCAAUGACCUAUAGUGAACCAGUACUGUGAAGGAAAGGUGAAAAGAACCCUUGUUAAGGGAGUGAAAUAGAACCUGAAACCAGUAGCUUAUAAGCGGUCGGAGACCUAUAGCUUCCUCGGAAGCGAUGGUUGACGGCGUGCCUUUUGCAUGAUGAGCCAGGGAGUUAAGUUAAACGGCGAGGUUAAGGGAUUUACAUUCCGGAGCCGAAGCGAAAGCGAGUUUUAAUAGAGCGUAUAGUCGUUUGAUUUAGACACGAAACCAAGUGAGCUAUUUAUGACCAGGUUGAAGCAUGGGUAAGACCUUGUGGAGGACCGAACCAGUACAUGUUGAAAAAUGUUUGGAUGAGUUGUGAAUAGGGGUGAAAGGCCAAUCAAACUUGGAGAUAUCUUGUUCUCUCCGAAAUAACUUUAGGGUUAGCCUCGGAUAUUAAGCUUUUGGGGGUAGAGCACUGAAUUCUAGCGGGGGCCUACCGGCUUACCAACGGAAAUCAAACUCCGAAUACCAAAAGCGAGUCCGGGAGAUAGACAGCGGGGGCUAAGCUUCGUUGUCGAGAGGGGAACAGCCCAGACCGCCGAUUAAGGUCCCAAAUUUUAUGCUAAGUGAGUAAGGAAGUGAUGAUUCUAAGACAGUUGGAAUGUUGGCUUAGAGGCAGCAAUCAUUUAAAGAGUGCGUAACAGCUCACCAAUCGAGAAUCAUCGCGCCAAUAAUAAUCGGGGCUCAAGCAUAAAACCGACAUCGCGGGUGUAUAUUUUAUAUAUACGCGGUAGGAGAGCGUAGUAUUCAGCAGCGAAGGUAUACCGUAAGGAGUACUGGAGCGGAUACUAGUGAAGAUCCAUGGCAUAAGUAACGAUAAAGGAAGUGAAAAUCUUCCUCGCCGUAAGCACAAGGUUUCCAGGGUCAAGCUCGUCUUCCCUGGGUUAGUCGGCCCCUAAGUCGAGGCACAAAUGCGUAGACGAUGGAGUAACAGGUUAAAUAUUCCUGUACCACCUAAAACUUUAGCAAUGGAAUGACGGAGUACGUUAAGCACGCGGACGAUUGGAAAUGUCCGUAUCACAAUGAGACUGGUUAGUAGGCAAAUCCGCUAACAUAAGGUUAGGUUGUGGUUAAGGGAAAUCUUCGGAGGAACUGAUAGUGUAGCGCAAUGCUUUCAAGAAAUAAUUUCUAGCUGUUGAUGGUGACCGUACCUAAACCGACACAGGUGUGCGAGAUGAGUAUUCUAAGGCGCGCGAGAUAACUUUCGUUAAGGAACUCGGCAAAUUAUCCCCGUAACUUCGGAAGAAGGGGAGCCUUCUAGGGUGAUUACCUUUACGGUAUGAGCUCCGGGAGGCCGCAGAGAAAUGGCCCAGGCGACUGUUUAACAAAAACACAGCACUAUGCAAACCUCUAAGGGGAAGUAUAUGGUGUGACGCCUGCCCAAUGCCAAAAGGUUAAAGGAAUAUGUCAGCCGUAAGGCAAAGCAUUGAACCCAAGCCCUGGUGAAUGGCCGCCGUAACUAUAACGGUCCUAAGGUAGCGAAAUUC